rnacentral:rRNA from 1 species
ACAAAAACAUGUCUCUUUGUUAUAUUUAAUAUAAAGAGUUUGACCUGCCCGGUGAUUAAUUUUUUUAACGGCCGCAGUACUUUGACUGUGCGAAGGUAGCAUAAUUAUUUGCCUUAUAAUUAAAGGCUUGUAUGAAUGGUUUGACGAGAAUAAAUCUGUCUUAAUUUAAUUUUUUAAAAUUUAACUUUUAAGUGAAGAGGCUUUUAUUUGAUUGAUAGACAAGAAGACCCUGUCGAGCUUAAUUUUUAUUUGUAAAUGUAUAUUUUUAUAUUAUUAAUAGAUUUUAGUUGGGGUGACUGAGGAAGUGUAUGAGUUUCCUUAUUAUUUAUUUAAAUUUGUUUGUUUUGAUCCAUUGUUAUUAUGACUAGUAGAAUUAGUUACCGCAGGGAUAACAGCAUAAUCUUUUUUGAGAGUUCAUAUCGAAAAAUUGGUUUGUGACCUCGAUGUUGGAUUAAAAUUUCCUAAGGGUGCAGAAGUUCUUAAGGGUUAGUCUGUUCGACUAUUAAAAUUUUACAUGAGCUGAG